ACAUCCAGAGAAUUUAGCAGAGAUGCUUUAGUGCCUUCGGGAACUCUGAGACAGGUGCUGCAUGGCUGUCGUCAGCUCGUGUUGUGAAAUGUUGGGUUAAGUCCCGCAACGAGCGCAACCCUUAUCCUUUGUUGCCAGCACGUAAUGGUGGGAACUCAAAGGAGACUGCCGGUGAUAAACCGGAGGAAGGUGGGGAUGACGUCAAGUCAUCAUGGCCCUUACGAGUAGGGCUACACACGUGCUACAAUGGCGCAUACAAAGAGAAGCGACCUCGCGAGAGCAAGCGGACCUCAUAAAGUGCGUCGUAGUCCGGAUUGGAGUCUGCAACUCGACUCCAUGAAGUCGGAAUCGCUAGUAAUCGUAAAUCAGAAUGUUACGGCGAAUACGUUCCCGGGCCUUGUACACACCGCCCGUCACACCAUGGGAGUGGGUUGCAAAAGAAGUAGAUAGCUUAACCUUCGGGAGGGCGUUUACCACUUUGUGAUUCAUGACUGGGGUGAAGUCGUAACAAGGUAAGCGUAGUGCU
rnacentral:rRNA from 1 species